AUUGAACGCUGGCGGCAGGCCUAACACAUGCAAGUCGAACGCGUGGCGGACGGGUGCGUAAUGUCUGGGAAACUGCCCGCUGGAGGGGGAUAACUACUGGAACCGGUAUCUAAUACCGCAUACCAUCGGAUGUGCCCAGAUGGGAUUAGCUAGUAGGUGGGGUAACGGCUCACCUAGCCGACGAUCCCUAGCUGGUCUGAGAGGAGGACCAGCCACACUGGAACUGAGACACGGUCCAGACUCCUACGGGAGGCAGCAGUGGGGAAUAUGGCACAAGGGGCGCAAGCCGGAUGCAGCCAUGCCGCGUGUAUGAAGAAGGCCUUCGGGUGGUAAAGUACUUUCAGCGAGGAGGGGUUACUCGCAGAAGAAGCACCGGCUAACUCCGUGCCAGCAGCCGCGGUAAUAC
rnacentral:rRNA from 1 species